rnacentral:lncRNA from 1 species
CUCCUGACUUCACCAUCGAAUCAUCUGUGAAGCUCAACCCACAAAACACAUAAUAAAAAGAGGUUCAAGAGCUAGGGCACUGACACAUGUGCCCUUUAGAAGGCAACAUGUGGGGUGCUUGGGGAGCUCUGAACUCUCCUUUCAUGUAUUAUAUAGAUGUAAAAUAUUGUGAGAAUAAGCAAUGAUUUGUUUUUUGCAUGCUUGUAAAAAAUGAACCUUAUAGAAAUACUACAUGCAUGGCCAAAAAAUGAGCAUUGCUCUUGGUAUGCCGCUACACAUACAUGUGUACUUUACAACCUUGCCU